rnacentral:rRNA from 1 species
AUUGAACGCUGGCGGCAGGCCUAACACAUGCAAGUCGAACGAGUGGCGGACGGGUGAGUAAUGUCUGGGAAACUGCCUGAUGGAGGGGGAUAACUACUGGAAACGGUAGCUAAUACCGCAUACCAUCGGAUGUGCCCGGAUGGGAUUAGCGAGUAGGUGGGGUAACGGCUCACCUAGGCGACGAUCCCUAGCUGGUCGGAGAGGAUGACCAGCCACACUGGAACGGAGACACGGUCCAGACUCCUACGGGAGGCAGCAGUGGGGAAUAUUGAACAAGGGGCGAAAGCCUGAUGCAGCCAUGCCGCGUGUAUGAAGAAGGCCUUCGGGUUGUAAAGCACUUUCAGCUGGGAGGCGUUACCCGCAGAAGAAGCACCGGCUAACUCCGUGCCAGCAGCCGCGGUAAUAC